rnacentral:rRNA from 1 species
AACGAACGCUGGCGGCAUGCCUAACACAUGCAAGUCGAACGAGACCUUCGGGUCUAGUGGCGCACGGGUGCGUAACGCGUGGGAACCUGCCCUUAGGUUCGGAAUAACUCCCCGGAAGAGGUCCUAAUACCGGCUCAUAUAUUCCGUACAAAGAUUUGUCGCCUUUGGAUGGGCGCGCGUUGGCUUAGCUUGUUGGUAGGGUAAAAGCCUACCAAGGCGACGAUCCAUAGCUGGUCUGAGAGGCUGAUCAGCGACACUGGGACUGAGACACGGCCCAGACUCCUACGGGAGGCAGCAGUGGGGAAUAUUGGACAAUGGGCGAAAGCCUGAUCCAGCAAUGCCGCGUGAGUGAUGAAGGCCUUAGGGUUGUAAAGCUCUUUUACACGGGAUGAUAAUGACAGUACCGGGAGAAUAAGCUCCGGCUAACUCCGUG